AAUUUCUCAGUAUUAAUUUGUUCAGCUGCUCUGGGAGGUUGAGAGAGUACUAUUUGGUUUUAAAAGUAACCUUGAAUGAAAUUACCAAUUCUAUCCAAUCAUCCAAAUUGGUGUAUGACUGGCCAUUUUGGCAGCUUUACACAAACAGAAUUUGACAAGGGUAACAAUUGGCUGAAAUUAAAAAAUUACAACCAGAAACAGUUCCCUUCAAAUUCACAAGAACUAAGAAUGGCUCUUCACAAGGACGAGAGGGAUAGAGGAGAAACAGAAGAGGGUGCUUAAAAGAAGGCAUCUCAUUGCACAAAAAUUACAUGGGCAAGCAGAAGCUGGCAAAAAUGUGUACCCAUAUCCAUAAUAGUACCCAAAAAAAGAACAAAAUUUCAACAAUCACUUGGGCUGUAGAAUGGACUCAACAAGGUCCUGAAGAGGUGCAAGCUCCCCUUUGUCAAUCAAGCGGAAUUCCUGCAUCACAACAGUGUAUCUUGACUCAUAUAAAACCGGUCUAUAUGGACCAACGAGCAAACACAACCCAAAUUAAAAUGAAACUUACCCAUGUGAAGAGAACAAAAUGCUUGAAGCAAGUAUUGAGAUGAGCUUCUUCCUUCAAGCUCACAAUUUUCUGAAAAUGAGAGUGAUAGAUAUGGGCAUAGACACGGAACAAUCGCUUAAAAAUGGUCUUGACAACAUCUUGGAAGUUGGCUGGAAAGGGUGCCCCUGUAACACAUAACAGCAAAUUAGUUUAUGGUGUUUGUAGUGUGCAAUGGUUAUAAAUAGAAACUAGGUACUUUAUGCCUUGAGCUUCAUUAAGAAUUUUUCUGCUUACCCAAUCUUUGAGGAAAGAUUGAUUCCUCAUCAAGCUGAUUUUCAAUCCAGUCCAUUAAAUACUCUACAUAUUUUGGGGCAGAGACCUCUAUUGGUUUCUUAAUGUUAACUCCAUCAGCCCAUCUGUACUCGUACCUGCGGAGUGUUCAACCAAACUGAGCACUUAGAUCACAAGCAUACGGUCGUAGCUAACAAGUUUGUAAAAGAAUUCACUUUAGGGUGCAAACUUUUCUCUUUCAAGUAUGAAGUCAAUACAUGAUAAUGGAGGAAGCUUGAUAAUCAAGAUAAAUCAUCAAAAUGAAUAAAUUCAACAAUCACAACAACUAGAGUGAUUUGAUUGGAUGAUCAAGAGCCAUACUUCGAUCCUGCAGACAUUGUCGGACAAUUGACCGGUGUGCAGAACUCAGUGAGAGUACCGUACAGAAUGUUCACUUGGUUGAAAAAAUCAACAGCUGUGUAAAAAAAAACGAAAUUGAAACAAGUUAAACAUAUAGCAAAAACAAUUUCCCCAGUGAAUAGCAGAUAGAUAAAUAAACAUGCAGAGACAAUAUGAAACGCAACAAAAGAAGAAGUUAUGAACCAUGGUGCCAUAUGCUGAAUGAAAUAUUAUAAUUAUGAUGAUCUUGAAUUUCAGAAUGAAAGUGAUUCAAAGUUCUUACUGUUUACUGCCAGCCACUCAUUUAUAUCUUCUCCGGGAGGCAGACGAACAGCCUCCCUCAGGUUCCCACUGCCCAAAGUUGCAUCAAUGUGUUUUUGAAGCUGGGCACCCUGCAUUCCAACAACAUAAUAUAUAUUGCUUCCAUCAGAUAAAAGAAAAAUAAACCUUUGACAAAGUAAAAAGAUACAAAUCACAGGACUAAGUAACCAUAAGGAAUUGAAUUGAGGUAUAUAUAUAUAAGUUAUAACACCAACCUUGCUUCCUGAUGGAGCACUCUUUUUAGGCCGAAAUGUCUUUUGGUUUCUGCACAAUCAAAGAUGGAAUUCAGGGGAAAAAAAAAGGUAACGUCUUCCAAAUUCAAACAAAGAACAAAGUAAGAAUUUUGAUAUGUCUCAAAGGCAAGAAACAACAAGAACAAAUAACCCUUUUGUCUGAUCCCACAUAAUUUGUAAAUAUUAAGUAAACAAAACCACAUAUCUAAUUUGCAAUUUUAAUUGAUGCCCAUGUAGCAGACACCUCUAGCAAGGCCAAAUAUAACAGAGCUAUGGUGGGAAAAGCUCUCUGAUUUAAUGAUGCAACCAAGAAUGAAAAAAAAGGCAAAAAAAAAAGGGUUGAAUUCUAUAGAAUUCAUGAUCCUGAAAACAUAUUAUGAUCGACUGAAUGAAAAGGAAAAAAAGAAAGAAUUAAUUUUCAACAUAUGGGAUUUAAAAUUGAGAUCCUAAGCAAAACAAACCUGCUUCCCAGGCCAAAGAGACUCAUCGUGUUUCUGUCUGUCUCACCCCUCUCUCUCUGCAGAAUCCAAGGCGAUAAUACAGGGCCAAUUCGAGACGAAAGAAGGAAUAUAUAUACAGAGCCAGACUAUAUAUGAACAUUUAUCUAUAUAUAUAUUAGAGAGAGAAAGAGAGUUAGUCUCUCUCUCCCCACCUCUUUCUGCUUGACCUCGCUCAUGCCAGUCUGUCAUUUACAGCUUAGACUGAGAGAGAGAGAGAGAACCUUGUCUUCCUUUCUUUUCCAUUUGAUUGCCAACCUGCUAACCUGGCUCAUUCUCCUUAUUUCUUUCUCAUUACUCUCUUUCUUUAUAGUUAUGUAAAUACAUAUAUUAUGCAUGUAUAUUGUUCAUGGUCAAAUUAAGACUCCUUCAACUGGCCAAAAGAGGAAAAAAAUUAUGACCCUAAUGAGGUGGCACUUAAUAAUGGUUACGAGCAAGCUUGUUAUGUUCCGUUCUGUCAACUAUUGAUGUAAGUUAAUUCUAAAAUAGGUCUCACAUACCGUAUAUCAACAACUAAUGGUCGUUAGUGCGUAAAUUGAGCAUAAAAUGGUUGGUGAUAUCUAAAUCAUAAUCACUUUAAUUCUAAUGAUUGGGAAUUUAGCAUAAUUAAAGAGGAUCAUCCUUGGUAAUUGGUAGUAAGAUAAGAUUCAUUAGAAAAAGAAAAGUAGAGUGGCAAAGUGAAGUUUGUGAAUCAAGGAUAGAGAGAGAUGGAGAUAGAGAACCAGAUUCAGCAUCUAAGUAAGGCGAUUAGGUCGUGAGAGAAUUUUAAAUGUGAGGGAGGGGUGGGGCCAAGAAAUGAUAAUAAGAUAUAUAUGCAUCUUAGCUGUAUUUGUACUGGCACAAUAUCAAGAUACACAUCGAUUUUAAUUUGUCCAAUCAAGUUGUGUUGAAGCUGGACCAUGCCCUAUAAAUCAAUUAUUUAUGCACAAACUUGGUUUUAAAUACAAAUUAAGUUAUAGCUUGAGCUUGAAGCCUAGAAUUCGAUAACCUAUCAUGCACCAACUCCUUGGGGUCUUAUUGAAAUGGGACACUUCAAUUUUAUAUCAAAUUAGCUGAUUAAAAAAUUGCGGAAUAAUAUCCUUAAUUUUGGGAAUGGAUUAGUGAUACGAGACACGUUUACCAUCCAAAUGUUAAAUUGUUGUUAACAUUUACAUGCGCUAAAAAUUUAAUUUUUAUUUCCGAGUUUUUACUUAUAUUUUAUUUUGAAAAAUUAAAAGAACGAGAGAGGGUUCGUGUUCUGAUUUUUCUAAAUGAGUGAUCAUAAAAGCCCUAUAAUUUUGAACAGAAAAAAAUGGCGUUGUUGACACUUCCCGCCAUCUCGGAGCUCACUUUACCGUUAUAAUAAACGGAUUUUCAAACUCCCCAAGCUCCAUACAAGUUUUGAACAAUGAAAGAGUCCAAAGAAUCCGCAUUAUUACAGGCCUAACGCAAUACGCCAAACUAAACCCAUCUACCACUAUGGGCCUUCUUCUGCUCACCCGUCAACAUCACCUUUUACCUUUCUCCUGCCACGUGUCCCCGACCCUUUUGCUGCUGCAGUACUUGGUUUUUUUACUUUUUCCGGUGGUGCGGUACUUGGUUUGGUUGGUGCUUAAAGAUUUGGAUUUUUGUUUUUCUGAUAUGGAUGUGUUGAUGCAUUGUUGUUUUCAAAAAUUAGGUUUUACUGAAUGGCUUUCCGGAAACUUGACAAUGCAAGGGAGAUGGGUGUUUGAUGAAAUUAAAUUAAAGUUAUGAACUUGAUGUUGUUCUUAUGGAAAGUGACUCAGAAAAAGUGAUUGAAAAGUUUUUCUCUAAAAAAAUGAUGCUUCUUGAUAACCGUAGUGCAUUUUGUUGUAGAGGAGAUGGAAAAUGUGAUUGGAUAACCGGUUUUGGCUUGCAUUUAGGUUAAUCAGCACAACUUAAGCCCGGAUUGAUAAUUAAGCUACUUAUUGAAGUCUUAUGAAGGAAUUGUAAGGAAAAAACUUGAAAAAUCUCGUACGAUUGUAAGGUGUCAAUUUUGACAAUCACAUGUCAAAUUUGACAAAUAAAUGAGAUUUUUCUGAUUAUGGAAGAUGGUGAGCAAGAACAAUUCUUGGUUGGCAACACCCAUAAAGAAAUCUGGACCACACAAAUUAAUUGAUAGGGUUAUUGAGUAUACGAUGUGCAUGUGUGAUUAGAAUUGUUUCCAUACUCCAAACUGUUACAAGUUAUGCAUUUAUAGUAUUCAUCUUAAGAUGCAAAUAAGAAAAGGGUUCAAAUAAUAAAAACUUCUACAACUGGCCUGAACUCUAAUUAAUCCUGCAGUUACAAGCCUUCUCAAUCACAGAAAGGAAAUAAAAAUGGACAUGGACAUGGAACAAAAAAGAAAGAGACAAUCUUUGAGAGUCUGAAAAUGUGAGGCUUGAGCACAUGGGAGAAGAUAUUAUGGGGGCAUAAUAUAGUCUACUAAAAUCCUUCAACAUUAAGCACACACACAUUAAAACUUCUACAAUCAUACAAUUAAACAGCCACUGACCUGAACUCUAAUUAAUCCUGCAGUUACAGGCCUUCUCAAACACAGAAAAGAAAACCAAAAUGGACAUGGACAUGACAUGGAACGAAAAAGAAAGAGACAAUCUUCUAGUGACAUUGCUUUUUGGCAUCUCAAGAGAGAGACCUUAAUUAAUUAGUACCACCAAGAACACCCUUCAGUUUCUUUAUCUGAGCAGCAUCAAGGAAAGUAGUCUGAGCUAUUACUUCGGUAGGCAAAUCGUUUUUGAACAAAGCAAAGUCCAGAAUUUGGAGACCCGGGCUUGCACUCCCGAAGCUAGCAAAUGCAAGGGCUGGAGCCUCACCUCCAUUGACUUGGAAGUGCAACAGCCCCUGUGGGAAAACCAUAAUGUCACCCUUCUCAAGAGUUUGCAGAUAAGGUGUGUUAUCUGAGGCAACAAACCCGGCGCAGAUUGUCCCUUGGGCGACAAUUAGGACUUCUGAAGCUCCAGGGUGUGUGUGAAAUGGGACAACUCCGCCAACCGCCAAGUCUAGACGGGCGAUGGAAAUGCCGAGGCCAUUCACACCAGGAAACUGAGCAACAAAUGCAGGGGUGACUGCAGCUUUGAUGAUGUUACUGGUGUUACCAGCAAUGCCCAGGCCCGAGAACACAAAAUCAUUUACUUUAACACUUGCAGGCUUUUUGCAAGAGAAGCCUGCAGGGCCUUCAGGAGCUGCUAAGUCUGCAACACAGAAGUCUUGCACAGCCGCAUUGGAGGAGGAGAGGAGGAGAAAAAAUGUGAACAAGAUAGGGAAAAUCAUCGUUGCCUGGCGCAAUAGGUGUGUGGUGGCUGCAAGCUUUCUUUUCUUUUAAGGUGUGCAAGUCUUGAUAAGAAAAUUGGGAUCAUAUAUAGUGGGAUAAUGCAAAUAUCUUGAGCUAUUGCAAUUGGUUGCUGAGAAUAUGCUACCCAUGUAUUCACAUGUAUGGCAAUGCUAAAGGUAUACGAUGGGGGAAAGGACAGGUUUCAAGCUGUGAUGCAUGUGAGUAUGAUAUUUUUCUCGGAUAACAACAAGAAGCUUCUUUUUGUUUUGGGUUAUUGAUCGAAUGCUCCCUCAAUUUUUGCCCCAAUAUCAUUUUGGUCCAACAAUUAAAAUUUUCAUUUCAAUAGUCCUUCAACUCUUUAUUUGGUAUCAAAACGUUAAAAACUGUUCAUAUUACCGUUAAAUCAAGGGGUAAAAUUGUCCAUAUGAAUUAAAAUAUGAAUAAAAAAUUAAAAAUUGAAUGAACCUAUUAUAAAACUUAGAAAAUUAAAAAAAUUGAAUCUCACCGCCUACUGUAGUCCACUCACCAGCCACAUGGCCUUUUUUUUUUCUUUUUUUAUUGAGAUUGACUUAAAAAUUAAUAAAAACGACCAUCCGCAAAACGCAACCCCUCCCUUUUCCUCACCCAACACAAAUCCUCAAUGACUUGAUGGCCUCAAAAAGAGGCUGAAUUCCAAAGAUUUUGGUCCAUUAAAGCAGUUCCAGUGGACAAAUGCUGCCAGGGUUGUUGGUGGGCUCCACAAGCCUGGGCUGGCCCUCAAGCAAAACCAGCUCUUGCUCUAGCUUGGGUUUGCUGACAUCAGCGAUGACGUCAUCAACCAAAAUUUUAAAAAAAUUAAAAAUUAAAAAUUUCAAAAAUUUUAAAAAAUAAAUACUUAGUAAUAUUUUUCACUUCCCACACCAAAACUCUAUACAAAUUCCUCUCCUCAUAUCUCAUAUGAAUAGUGGUUACCAUGGUAAUGAGUGGAAACACCAUAAGCCUUUUGCAAGGGCUGCAACUAUUCACCUGAAUAGUAAUAGCCCUUGCCUCCCCUUGCCAUUUGCCAUGGCAAAUGGGUGGAAGUGCUCUUAGAUUCCAACAAAAACCCUUCUCUUCCUCUGGACUUUCGUCGAGCAACUGAUGGGAAACUCCAAGUCGCACCACCAGCAAACAAGGACCUUUAAGCCCAUUUCGAUGGCUGCCAUGGGGUCUGCCACUGCCUCCAACCCCUCUCUGAUUCCUAUGACGUCAUACGCCAAUUUCCUCUAGCCGUCAGAUCCAAGCAAAACUGGUCUCUCUGUUUUGGUGUUUCCAACUCGGCUCGCGGCUCCGAUUGUCCUUUCUGAGGCAAGCGCGAGGUUCACGACCACGUGGUUGGCUGCGAAGCCUGCAAGCGCGGCUUUCACCUCACAUGCACCGGAAUGCGCACUACCAAGCCAUGAAUUUGGAGAAAUGGGAAUGUGAGGAGUGUACGAGCAGUGGGGUUAGAAGCAAGUGCUGAACGUUUGGAGUUUUUUUUUUAAUUGGUUGAAAGGCCACCUGAAGUUAAGUUCAAGCAGAUUUUGCAAUAUUUUACUUUAAUUUUUAAUUACACUUCUUUUUCCAACAAAAAAAAAACUUUAUUAAUAUUUUAAUUUAUAUGGAUAGUUUUACCCCUCAAUUUAAUAAUAAAAUUGACAGACUUUGACGGUAGGACCAAUUUGAUACUAAACGGAGAGUUGAAGGACCAUUGAAAUGAAAAUUUUAGUUCAUGGACCAAAAUGAAACUGGAGCAAAAAUUAAAGGACCAUUCCAAUCAAUAACCCUUUUGUUUUUGCCCUAUGGUUUCAGAGUUACCACUAACCGUGAUGAAGCAGGCAUGAGUUCCCGAAUCUUUCGACGUUUGAGUACAAUCCCAUGUAGUAGUUUAAAAUUUUUUUGCCCACGAAGUGAUAAUUUGUUAGCUUUUUCCCAUCUGUGUUCUAUAGCUAUGACCAAUCAAACAGAUAAAGUAUAUAUUCAGCAUAUGCUGCAACUAUUUUCCUGAAUUGAUCAAUACAUUAACAAAAUAUAUAGGCUUAUUUCAUGUGUUGCUAGUACUGAAGGUUGUGUUUUAAGAUUUGAAAUCCAGCAGGAGAAGCCGAAAAAUGGUGAGCAGAUUGUGGCCCUUGAGAAAAUGGGGAAAGAUAUUCAAGGGAAGCCAUUUUGACAGCUAAAAAAUGCCAGAGGAAUGGGAAUUCUGUGGAUAUCAAAAAUUCCCCUUCUUGUAGGGUUCUUGGAUUUCAAUAUAGGAUGGUAAAAUGUCUCUUCAAAUUCUGUCUCUUUGUGGUGUAUCUUUACUAAGAUUCUUCUAGAGUUCACCUUAUCAUUAGAAGAUGGCACCAACACCACAUUGCUUUUACAUGAAUAUGAGCCAAUGAUUACCAAAAACCAAAAAAAAAAACAAAUUUAUAUGAGCAAAUGUAGAAUAAUGUAUGGACAAUUAAUUCAAUCUCAAUUAUGUGGUAUGACAUAAUGGAAAAACUCAUAUUCAUAUAAAGAUGUAGACAAUCCAAUCUCAAUUAUGUUAUGUUAACAAGUAAUUUUUUUGUCCUUAACCAAGUUGACAGAGAAAAAUUAAGGAGUCCCAAAUGCAUUGCUCUUAUACCUCCCUUUGUAACACUGACUCCGGCUCAUGGACGCCAGUCUCCUUAAUCUUAGUGAUUAGGGAUCCAGCAGAAACUUUAUACACAAAGCAGUCUUCAACAAUCAUCCUCUAUACCCUUAAGCCUUCCAGUGAUCCCGUAGCCACGACAACGUCUUCCUGAUGAAUUACACUCGUUAAAUUUAAGAAAAAAAACUCUCACUUCACCUGGAGUCAGUAAAAGAUGUACAAUGUAGAUGAAGGAAGUUGAGGUUCCACCCCAAAAUCAAUUGACAAUGGGGGGAGUAGCCCAACUCUCAGUAGACAUCAUAAGAAGAAAGGAGCACUAUCACUUACAUCAACAACAAGAAUACCACCUGCCACUUCCUCAAAGUCCUGCAUACCCGUUAUAUAUUGGGGAAGGUUAGAAAAACAGAUGGAAGAAGUACUAAGAAGAAAGGAGCAAUAUCACUUACAUCAUCAACAACAUGAAUACCACCUGCCACUUUCUCAAGGUCCUGCAUUCCAGUUAUAUAUUGUGAAUUGAAAAUUAGAGAAACAGCUGGAAGAAGAACUAAAUUAACAUGUACCUUUAUGUACAACAUGGUUUAAAAUUCAAAUCACUUUAUGCGCACCUCCAUAUAGGAACCAUCGGGACCAAAAAGAAGUGUUUUCAGUUCGGAAUGUUGUUCCUGCACAAAAUAUAGAUUAGACCAAAGGCUCAUAUUACUUGCCCAAUGCUCACAUUAAUUCCAAAUUUGAUAAAAAUUAUAAAGAUCAAGCAAAAGCUGUAACACCAUGUUACAGUGCUGAAGUUAAGAAGUACGCCACUUAACGGUGUGCAGUAAGGAAAUAAUACACAGCCGUUUAAUUGUUUUUGCUAGAUGUUUUUCUAACUGUUGGCAAUAUAAUUGGGGUGCAGGCACUUAAAAAACUGGCAGGUUGUAAUGUUGUUCUUGCUGAGGUAAGUGUUACAGUUGCUUUGUGAUUUUGAUGGCUACAUUGCUUGCACAUCUUGUUCUAUCUAAUAUUUUUAAUCUGCAUGUAAACUAUCAGUGGAAGGAGGCAUUAUUUUAGCUAUAGGCCCAUUUGAAGGAUUAAGGUUGAUGAGGACAUUCAUGGAAGACUGCAUUGUUUGCAACGUUUCCCCUCGAACCCUUAUCCGUCGGGUCAGAGAUGUGGAUUGUAUGGCUGUUUACGGUAAUCUGCGUUAUAUCUCUGGUGACGGCUUUGAGUGCAAGGAAUGAUUUUGGAGCCGUUGCCUUCUUUUCUCUGUGAAUUCUGAAUUCUAUAUGGGGUCGAGAGUAGUAUGUCUUGAUCUCUUGGACUACAGGGGUUCAAGAUAUUUGUGAUCACUCAUCGUUGGAUAUAAAUUCAAUGGUUCACUCACUCUUGCACUCCUUUUAAAUAACUUUUUUGAACUACUAGAUUAAUAUCUAACGGUGGGUGACUACAAUCUCUUGGACUCCUGUGGUCCAAGAGAUCGGGACUGUGAACAUUAGUAUUAAACAAUUUCCUCCGUUCAUCAAACAUUAUUUUGGUAUAUAUAGUUACCAACUUUCCAUAUUAUCCUUAUUAUUUUCUUAACAAUACGAUAUUCUAAACUACUCUAAAAUACGGAGAGGGAGAUUUGAGCUCAGGUGCAACUGGGUGGACACAGCUGCUAAUGCGUGUGCUCCUUAUUUUCAAAUCUAUUAUUUGAUUACAGGCCUUCUCAAUCACAAGAAGAAAACAAAGGGACAAUCUUUAGUGACCUUCUUCCUCUUCGGUAUCUCAAUAGACCUUAUUAGUGCCACCAAGAACACCCUUAAGCUUCUUUAUCUGAGGAGCAUCAAGUAAAGUAGUCUGCGCUAUCAAUUCGGUAGCUAAGUCAUUUUUGAAGAGUGCAAAGUCCACAAUCUGCAGACCAGGGCUUGGACUGCUGAAGCUAGGAAAUGCAAUGGCCGGAGUGUCACCUCCAUUCACUUGGAAGUGCAAUAGUCCUUGAGGGAACACGAUAAUGUCACCCUUCUUAAGAGUUUUCAGAUAAGGUGUGUUAUCUGAGGCAACAAACCCGGCAAUUAUUGUCCCUUGGACAACAAGUAAAACUUCUGAAGCUCCGGGGUGAGUGUGAAAGGGGACAACUCCACCCGGACCCAGGUCUAAACGAGCCAGUGAAAUGCCAAGGCCAUUCACACCAGGAAAUUGGGCAGCAAAUGCAGGGGUGACUGCUGCUUUGAAGAUAUUUGUGGUGUUACCAGCAAUGCCUAGGCCUGAGUACACAAAAUCAUUGACGGUAACUAUUGCGGGCUUUUUGCAAGAGUAGCCUGCAGGGCCAUCAGGAGCUUUGUAGUCUGCAACACAGAAGUCUUGCACAGAGGCAUGGGAAGUGGAGAGGAGGAGAAAAAAUGUGAAGAAGAUAGGGAAAAUCAUCUUGGCUGAGUGUAGCAGGUAUUUGUUUAAGCCUUUUUGAGGUGUGCUUCUGUAAAGCAAAUUGGGAUUUACAUAUAUAGCGGGAUAAAGCGAAUAUCUUGAACCACUGCAAUUGGUUGGUACUAGGUAGGAAUUUGCCCAUAUAGGACUCACAUGCAGGGGCGGUGGCAGGGUAGGCAGCCGCCAACUCCAUUUUUUGCCAAACUAAAAAUUACUCAAUACCCAAUACAAUCAAAUUUCUUCUGUUUACUCAAACCCAACCCACCAGGGGCAGUCCUACCCUAAGAGCAGGGUAGGCAGCGGCUACUCCAUUUUUUGCCAAACCAAAAAUUAUCCAAUACCCAAUACAAUCAAAUUUCUUCUGCCUACUCAAACCCAACCCGCUCAAAUUUUUUCCUUUAACAAAAACAAUAGCCUAGCACACUCAAACUUUCUCCUUUAACAAGAACAAUAAAAAGCAAUAUAAGCAUGUGAAAGAUGUGAAAGUUGUAUGAAGAUUUUUUUUUUUUUUAAAAUUACAAAAAAGGUGGUAGGAGUGUCACCUCUUCGAGCCGGGCACGAAUUAUGGGAAAGUUCUCCCCAAGAGGUUCGUUACACAUGCAGAGGAUCGAACUCAGGACCUCAGUGUGGAGCCCGAUCACAUUCGCCCAACAUGUGUGGCCUAGCCCAUUCAAUUUUCCACUAGACCAAACCCACUUGGGUAUGGAGAUAUUUUUCAACGUUGACUAACAUUGUGAAUUUUGUUAGUGCGUCUGCUAAGCGCUGUAAUGAGUUAAAUUUAUUUCGAAAAGCUAAACUCAAAGAGUUGUUAGAUUUUGGGGAACUUGAGACAGAUAGAAGACUUAAUCAAGGUCGUAGUUUGAAACGAGCUGGAGCCGCUCGUUGGGGAUCUCACUUUGCCUCUAUUACAAGUUUGAUGAGUUUAUUUAAAGAGACUAAAAUACUUCUCCAAGAAAUCAGUGAUUAUGGACCUAACCAACAAUUUCAUGGCAAUGCAAAGAGUAACUAUAUUGCUAUGAUGUCUUUUGAGUUUGUGUUUUCAUUGUUUUUGAUUGAUAAAAUAAUGGGAUUGACCAACUUUCUUUGUCAACUGUUUCAGACAAAAACCUAAGAUAUUGCAAGUGCUUUAAACUUUGUUGAAAACACGAAAUCACAGUUCCAAGAUAUGAGGGCACAUGACUGGGAUGAUUUAUUCAUGGGUGUGGUAUCAUUUUGUGAACAACAUGGUAUUAAUGUUCCUGAUAUGAGUUCUCGUUAUAUGAGUCCCUACCAUAAGAAUGAGGAAACCCGCUUCUUUAUUAUAUUUUGUAAAUAUCUCUUCCUUCCCUUCCAAAGAAUAUUUUUCUUAGAAGUCGGCGAAUCGUAAAAGGACUUGUAUAAAAUGAUUGCUAUCUUUCGGCUUUCCACUUACCCGGUUCCCCACGCGGCGAAUGGGUACGUCCGGGGUCGAUCGUAUAGAUUGACGCAAAAUUUUUUUAUUUUAACGAAUCGUGCCGCCGAAGAAACCUCACCCUAACCACAUAAAGCCAAAAAAUUAGCGGUCGUUUUUGUCAAUAAAAAGAUUUUAUUACAGUUGAACAUUACUAUUACAUUAAUGUAUUUAAUGAUGUGAUAGAUUGCAUGGUGAGGGAGUUAAAUGACAGAUUUCUAGAGCAAACAGUUAAACUUUUUAUUUUUAGCUCAGCAUUUGAUCAUCGUAAUUCCUUCAAAUCAAUCAAUAUUGGGCAUCUAUGUAAACUUGCUGAGAAAUUCUAUCAUGCUGAUUUCAGUCCAAGUGACUUGAAAGCUUUAGAAAUUGGGAUGAGGUAUUUCAAAAUGAUAAGCAUCGCCUUCCCCGCUUUAAGGACCUCACCACUCUUCCUCAGUUAUGUCAACAAUUGGUGGAAACAACUUUGGGAGAAAACUACUAUUUGCUUUACAAGUUGAUUUAGUUGGUGUUGACUCUUCAUGUUUCUACAGCAACAAAGAACGAGCUUUUUCAUUUAUGAGAAUUAUUAAGAAUAGACUUUGGAGCACCAUAGCUGAUGAAUUCCUUACUGAUUGCAUGAUUCUCCACAUUGAAAGAGAGUUUGCUCAUAAUAUCGAUAAUGAAGAGAUAAUUGAGGAAUUUAAGAUUUUUAAGCCUUGCAGGGUAAAGUUUUAGAUUUAAAUAGUUUAGUUUUGUGUUGCAUUGCAUUUACUUCUUGUUUUUCUGUUAAGCGUUUAUUUAUAUAUAGAUAUGCAUAUUUGAUGGUAAGGCUCAUUACGUCCCCCCUAACUAGAUGUAUCUUUUUCUUCUUUUUUUUGUGCCCCUAAAGUGAUAAUUUGUUAGCCUUUUCCCAUCUGUGUUCUAUAGCUAUGACCAAUCAAACAGAUGAAGUAUAUAUUCAGCAUAUGCUGCAACUAUUUUCCUGAAUUGAUCAAUACAUUAACAAAAUAUAUAGGCUUAUUUCAUGUGUUGCUAGUACUGAAGGUUGUGUUUUAAGAUUUGAAGUCCAGCAGGAGAAGCCGAAAAAUGGUGAGCAGAUUGUGGUCCUUGAGAAAAUGGGGAAAGAUAUUCCAGGGAAGCCAUUUUGACUGCUAAAAGGUGCCAGAGGACUGGGAAUUCUGUGGAUAUCAGAAAUUCCCCUUCUUGUAGGGUUCUUGGAUUUCAAUAUAGGAUGGUAAAAAGUCUUUACAACUUCUGUCUCUUUCUGGUGUAUCUUUACUAAGAUUCUUCUAGAGUUCACCUUAUCAUCGGAAGAUGGCACCAACACCACAUUGAUUUUACUUGAAUAUGAGCCAAUGAUUACCAAAAAAGAAAAAAGAAAAACAAAUUUGUAUGAGAGCAAAUGUAGAAUAAUGUAUGGACAAUUAAUUCAACCUCAAUUAUGUGUUAUGACAUAAUGGAAAAACUCAUAUUCAUAUAAAGAUAUAGACAAUCUAAUCUCAAUUGUGUUAUGUUAAUAAGUAAUUUUUUCGUCCUUAACCAAGUUGACAGAGAAAAAUUAAGGAGUCCCAAGCGCAUUGCUCUUACACCCGCACCGUGUACACCCGCCUUUGUAACACUUUCCCGGCUCAUGGACGCCCGUCACCUGGAGUCAGUAAAAUAUGUACAAUGUAGACAUCAUAAGAAGAAAGCAGCACUAUCACUUACAUCAACCACAAGAAUACCACCUGCCACUUCCUCAUCCUCAAAGUCCUGCAUACCAGUUAUAUAUUGGGGAAGGUUAGAAAAACAGCUGGAAGAAGUACUAAGAAGAAAGGAGCAAUAUCACUUACAUCAUCAACAAUAUGAAUACCACCCGCCACUUUCUCAAGGUCCUGCAUUCCAGUUAUAUAUUGUGAAUUGAAAAUUAGAGAAACAGCUGGAAGGAGAACUAAAUUAACAUGUACCUUUAUGUACAACAUGGUUUAAAAUUCAAAUCACUUUAUGCACCUCUAUAUAGGAACCAUUGGGACCAAAAAGAAGUGUUUUCAGUUCGGAAUGUUGUUCCUGCACAAAAUAUAGAUUAGACCAAAGGCUCAUAUUACUUGCCUAAUGCUCACAUUAAUUCCAAAUUUGAUAAAAAUUAUGAAGAUCAAGCAAAAUCUUUAACACCAUGUUCCAGUGCUGAAGUUAAGAAGUACGCCACUUAAUUAAUGGUGUGCAGAAAGGAAAUAAUACACAGCUGUUUAAUUGUUUUUGCUAGAUGUUUUUCUAACUGUUGGCAAUAUAAUUGGGGUGCAGGCACUUUAAAAACUGGCAGGUUGUAAUGUUGUUCUUGCUGAGGUAAGUGUUACAGUUGCUUUGUGAUUUUGAUGGCUACAUUGCUUGCACAUCUUGUUCUAUCUAAUAUUUUUAAUUUGCAUGUAAACUAUCAGUGGAAGGAGGCAUUAUUUUAGCUAUAGGCCCAUUUGAAGGAUUAAGGUUGAUGAGGACAUUCAUGGAAGACUGCAUUGUUUGCAACGGUUCCCCUCGAAACCCUUAUCCGUCGGGUUAGAGAUGUGGAUCGUAUGGCUGUUUACGGUAAUCUGCGUUAUAUCUCUGGUGACGGCUUUGAGUGCAAGGAAUGAUUUUGGAGCCGUUGCCUUCUUUUCUCUGUGAAUUCUGAAUUCUAUAUGGGGUCGAGAGUAGUAUUGAACAUUAGUAUAUUAAACAAUUUCCUCCGUUCAUCAAACAUUAUUUUGGUAUAUAUAGUUACCAACUUUCCAUAUUAUCCUUACUUUUUCAAAUUUUUUUCUUAACAAUACGAUAUUCUAAACUACUCUAAAAUACGGGGAGGGAGAUUUGAGCUUAGGUGCAACUGGGUGGACACAGCUGCUAAUGCGUAUGCUCCUUAGUUUCAAAUCUAUUAUUUGAUUAGUUCGGGGUUUUAGAGUAUAUUAUAUCAUUCUUAUUUCUUGAUUGACAAAGCAGGUUAUCUUAAUAAUAUAGAUAUUACAACGAAUCUGGACCUGGAGAUGCAUUGUCAUCUUAAUUAAGAUACAAAUAGAUGGGGCAUUUGCCUUCAACACAAUGAUACUUCUACAAGCAUACAAAAAGCACGAACUAGAGUAAAAUUUUACUGGUAAUGCAGAAACUGCCACUGGGCAAAACAAUCCUAAACUUACAGGCCUUCUCAAUCACAACAAGAAAACAAAGGGACAUGAAAUAAAAGAAAGAUUCAAUCUUUAGUGACCUUCUUCCUCUUCGGUAUCUCAAUAGACCUUAAUUAGUGCCACCAAGAACACCCUUAAGCUUCUUUAUCUGAGCAGCAUCAAGGAAAGUAGUCUGCGCUAUCAAUUCGGUAGGUAAGUCAUUUUUGAAGAGUGCAAAGUCCAGAAUCUGCAGACCAGGGCUUGGACUGCUGAAGCUAGGAAAUGCAAGGGCCGGAGUGCCACCUCCAUUCACUUGGAAGUGCAAUAGUCCUUGAGGGAACACCAUAAUGUCACCCUUCUUAAGAGUUUUCAGAUAAGGUGUGUUAUCUGAGGCAACAAACCCGGCAAUUAUUGUCCCUUGGACAACAAGUAAGACUUCUGAAGCUCCGGGGUGAGUGUGAAAGGGGAUAACUCCACCCGGACCCAGGUCUAAACGAGCCAGUGAAAUGCCAAGGCCAUUCACACCAGGAAAUUGGGCAGCAAAUGCAGGGGUGACUGCUGCUUUGAUGAUAUUUGUGGUGUUACCAGCAAUGCCUAGGCCUGAGUACACAAAAUCAUUGAUGGUAACUUUUGCAGGCUUCUUGCAAGAGUAGCCUGCAGGGCCAUCAGGAGCUUUGUAGUCUGCAACACAGAAGUCUUGCACAGAGGCAUGGGAAGAGGAGAGGAGGAGAAAAAAUGUGAAGAAGAUAGGGAAAAUCAUCUUGGCUGAGUGUAGCAGGUAUUUGUUUAAGCCUUUUUGAGGUGUGCUUCUGUAAAGCAAAUUGGGAUUUACAUAUAUAGCGGGAUAAAGUGAAUAUCUUGAACCAUUGCAAUUGGUUGGUAGGAAUGUGCCCAUGUAGGACUCACAUGUGGAAAGAUGUUAAGCAUACGGCAAACGACAGAUUUCAAGCUAGCUGUGAUGCAUGUGAACAUGAUAUUUUC
rnacentral:lncRNA from 1 species